rnacentral:rRNA from 1 species
GCCAGAGCCAUAUCUCCCUGCAGUUCUCACCUGGUUCAGCACUGAAGCUUAGCAGGGCUGAGCCUGGUCAGUACCUGGAUGGGAGACCUCCUGAGGAAAAUUAAGGUUGCUGCUGGAA